CUGUAAGAAACACAAGCAGCUAAUGCCUCAAACAUGGUCUACAUGAACCAGUUAACUUAUACUGCUCUUCCACACGCAAAAUAUUAUUAGAUAAUUCAUGAAUUCAAUGUUGCUUUUACUGAACAAUACUCUGAACUAAAUAAUGCUUCCUACUUAGACCAAAAAUUAAAGGCAACUU